AUUGAACGCUGGCGGCAUGCCUUACACAUGCAAGUCGAACGGUAACAGGUCUUCGGAUGCUGACGAGUGGCGAACGGGUGAGUAAUACAUCGGAACGUGCCUAGUAGUGGGGGAUAACUACUCGAAAGAGUGGCUAAUACCGCAUGAGAUCUACGGAUGAAAGCAGGGGAUCGCAAGACCUUGUGCUACUAGAGCGGCCGAUGGCAGCUUAGGUAGUUGGUGGGAUAAAAGCUUACCAAGCCGACGAUCUGUAGCUGGUCUGAGAGGACGAGCAGCCACACUGGGACGGCAACACGGCCCAGACUCCGACGGGAGGCAGCAGUGGCGAAUUUUGGACAAUGGGCUCAAGCCUGGUCCAGCAAGGCCGCGUGCAGGAUAAAGGCGUUAGGGUUGUGAACUGCUUUUGUACGGAACGAAAAGCCCUGGGUUAAUACCCUGGGGUCAUGACGGUACCGUAAGAAUAGGCACCGGCUAACUACGUGCCAGAAGCCGCCGUAAUAC
rnacentral:rRNA from 1 species